CGAGAUUCCCCCAGUAGCGGCGAGCGAACGGGGAGCAGCCCAGAGUCUGAAUCAGCUUGUGUGUUAGUGGAACGGUCUGGAAAGUCCGACGGUACAGGGUGAUAGUCCCGUACACCAAAAUGCACAGGCUGUGAACUCGAAGAGUAGGGCGGGACACGUGGUAUCCUGUCUGAAUAUGGGGGGACCAUCCUCCAAGGCUAAAUACUCCUGACUGACCGAUAGUGAACCAGUACCGUGAGGGAAAGGCGAAAAGAACC
rnacentral:rRNA from 2 species